rnacentral:rRNA from 1 species
CCGAGUUGGGGCGGCUUACACAUGCAGUCGAGCGGAACGAUACCAGCUUGCUGGUAGGCGUCGAGCGGCGGACGGGUGAGUAAUACUUAGGAAUCUACCUAGUAGUGGGGGAUAGCUCGGGGAAACUCGAAUUAAUACCGCAUACGACCUACGGGAGAAGGGGGCAGUUUACUGCUCUCGCUAUUAGAUGAGCCUAAGUCGGAUUAGCUAGAUGGGGGGGUAAAGGCCUACCAUGGCGACGAUCUGUAGCUGGUCUGAAAGGAUGAUCAGCCACACCGGGACUGAAACACGGCCCGGACUCCUACGGGAGGCAGCAGUGGGGAAUAUUGGACAAUGGGGGAAACCCUGAUCCAGCCAUGCCGCGUGUGUGAAGAAGGCCUUUUGGUUGUAAAGCACUUUAAGCAGUGAAGAAGACUCCUCGGUUAAUACCCGUGGACGAUGACAUUAGCUGCAGAAUAAGCACCGGCUAACUCUGUGCCAGCAGCCGCGGUAAUACAGAGGGUGCAAGCGUUAAUCGGAAUUACUGGGCGUAAAGCGAGCGUAGGUGGCUUGAUAAGUCAGAUGUGAAAUCCCCGGGCUUAACCUGGGAACUGCAUCUGAAACUGUUAGGCUAGAGUAGGUGAGAGGAAGGUAGAAUUCCAGGUGUAGCGGUGAAAUGCGUAGAGAUCUGGAGGAAUACCGAUGGCGAAGGCAGCCUUCUGGCAUCAUACUGACACUGAGGCUCGAAAGCGUGGGUAGCAAACAGGAUUAGAUACCCUGGUAGUCCACGCCGUAAACGAUGUCUACUAGUCGUUGGGUCCCUUGAGGACUUAGUGACGCAGCUAACGCAAUAAGUAGACCGCCUGGGGAGUACGGCCGCAAGGUUAAAACUCAAAUGAAUUGACGGGGGCCCGCACAAGCGUGGAGCAUGUGGUUUAUUCGAUGCACGCGAGACUUACCUGGUCUGACAUAUCUAGAUCCUGCAGAGAUGCGGGAGGUGCCUUCGGGAAUUAGAAUAACAGGUGCUGCAUGGCUG